UUUUAUCUUUCUUUUCUUUAUGGUUGAUUUGGAACGAGGCUAAUUAGGGUUUUCUCUCUUGCUAUGGAUACAGUGUCAACAUUGGAAGAGAAAGGGGAGGCCACUUGAGUCUUUAUAUGAAGACCUGACCGAUAAGGGCUGAAUCAAAGAUUCACAAUUGUAAAAAUAAAAGAGGAGUAACGAUAGAUAAGAUUGUAAUCGAUGUAGGUGUGUGAAAAGGGAAAAUUUUCAAAAGACGAUAACUUUUACUCCUAAAAGUAAUCAUUUUUAUAAAAGAGAGACUAACCUAGAUUUAUGCGAUACGCAUUAGAGGGAACCAUAAAGCCACCCAAGAAUAACCUGAAGCUCCAAAACAUAAAAGCCCUAAUCAACCACGUCCCAUAGCAUAAAAAAUGAAGAGGAGUGCCGGAGCUUGUGCUAUAAGAAUCAAAGGGGCAGCAUUAAAAUGACAUUG
rnacentral:lncRNA from 1 species